rnacentral:rRNA from 1 species
AGGACGAACGCUGGCGGCGUGCUUAACACAUGCAAGUCGAGCGGAAAGGCCCUUCGGGGUACUCGAGCGGCGAACGGGUGAGUAACACGUGAGCAACCUGCCCUUGGCUCUGGGAUAGCCUCCGGAAACGGGGAUUAAUACCGGACAUUCACUUUCUCCUGCAUGGGGGGUUGGUGGAAAGUUUUUCGGCCAGGGAGGGGCUCGCGGCCUAUCAGCUUGUUGGCGGGGUAACGGCCCACCAAGGCGACGACGGGUAGCCGGCCUGAGAGGGCGAUCGGCCACACUGGGACUGAGACACGGCCCAGACUCCUACGGGAGGCAGCAGUGGGGAAUAUUGCACAAUGGGCGCAAGCCUGAUGCAGCGACGCCGCGUGGGGAUGAAGGCCUUCGGGUUGUAAACCCUUUCACCAGGAGCGAAUUCAGACGGUACCUGGGGAAGAAGCGCCGGCUAACUACGCGCCAGCAGCCGC